UACGAAGGGGGCUAGCGUUGCUCGGAAUUACUGGGCGUAAAGGGCGCGUAGGCGGCACUGUUAGUCAGGCGUGAAAGUCCUGGGCUCAACCUGGGAACUGCGCUUGAUACGGCAGAGCUAGAGGAUGGAAGAGGCUCGCGGAAUUCCCAGUGUAGAGGUGAAAUUCGUAGAUAUUGGGAAGAACACCGGUGGCGAAGGCGGCGAGCUGGUCCAUUACUGACGGCUGAGGCGCGACAGCGUGGGGAGCAAACAGG
rnacentral:rRNA from 1 species